rnacentral:rRNA from 1 species
AGCGAACGCUGGCGGCAGGCCUAACACAUGCAAGUCGAACGAAGUCUUCGGACUUAGCGGCGGACGGGUGAGUAACACGUGGGAACGUGCCUUUAGGUUCGGAAUAACUCAGGGAAACUUGUGCUAAUACCGAAUGUGCCCUUCGGGGGAAAGAUUUAUCGCCUUUAGAGCGGCCCGCGUCUGAUUAGCUAGUUGGUGAGGUAAAGGCUCACCAAGGCGACGAUCAGUAGCUGGUCUGAGAGGAUGAUCAGCCACAUUGGGACUGAGACACGGCCCAAACUCCUACGGGAGGCAGCAGUGGGGAAUCUUGCGCAAUGGGCGAAAGCCUGACGCAGCCAUGCCGCGUGAAUGAUGAAGGUCUUAGGAUUGUAAAAUUCUUUCACCGGGGACGAUAAUGACGGUACCCGGAGAAGAAGCCCCGGCUAACUUCGUGCCAGCCGCCGCUGUAAGAC